rnacentral:rRNA from 1 species
UACGUAGGGUGCGAGCGUUGUCCGGAAUUAUUGGGCGUAAAGGGCUCGUAGGCGGUUUGGUAAGUCGGGUGUGAAAUCUCCACGCUCAACGUGGAGGGGCCACUCGAUACUGCCAUGACUCGAGUCCGGUAGAGGAGUGUGGAAUUCCCGGUGUAGCGGUGAAAUGCGCAGAUAUCAGGAGGAACACCGGUGGCGAAGGCGGGUCUCUGGGCCGAUACUGACGCUGAGGAGCGAAAGCGUGGGGAGCGAACAGG